GAUGAACGCUGGCGGCGUGCUUAACACAUGCAAGUCGAACGGAAAGGCUCCUGCUUGCCGUGGUACUCGAGUGGCGAACGGGUGUGUAACACGUGGGUGAUCUGCCCUGCACUUCGGGAUAAGCCUGGGAAACUGGGUCUAAUACCGGAUAGGACGAUGGUUUGGAUGCCAUUGUGGAAAGUUUUUGCGGUGUGGGAUGAGCUCGCGGCCUAUCAGCUUGUUGGUGGGGUAAUGGCCUACCAAGGCGUCGACGGGUAGCCGGCAUGAGAGGGUGUACGGCCACAUUGGGACUGAGAUACGGACCAGACGCGUACGGGAGGCAGCAGUGGGGAAUAUUGCCCAAUGGGGGCAAGCCUGAUGCAGCGACGCCGCGUUGGGGAUGACGGCCUUCGGGUUGUAAACUCCUUUCGCUAGGGACGAAGCGCAAGUGACGGUACCUGGAGAAGAAGCACCGGCUAACUACGUG
rnacentral:rRNA from 1 species